rnacentral:misc_RNA from 1 species
GGCCUAAUCUAUAUGGAAACAACAAUGGGUGGGGGGGAAGGAUACAAUACAAUAAUUACAUUCCUACUUAUGCAUUUAUAUGGGAAAAGAAAAGAAACAAAACAAGAUGAAAGAGUAAGAAAAGUAGAAUAUGGGUCAAGGGCCUCAAGGCCUGUUAAUAUCCAUUUGAUGUUUUCUGGGAUUUCUUUCUGAAAUUUGCAACGCUGCAGUGGGGACAAAUGUACUCCAAUCCAUCUGUCUUGGCAUAGUCCUUAAAUGCACCAAGCCCCUGCCUCCUGUCACAGCCAAAAUGUGCCCAUUCACCACAUAUUCCACAGUUCACCCAGUCCCCAGC